ACAAACUUGGUCAUUUAGAGGAAGUACAAGUCGUAACAAGGUAUCCGUAGGUGAACCUGCGGAUGGAUCAUUACUGUGUGAUUCUGUUUGUAAUGUGAAUUGUUGAUUGUUGCGGUUGGUGGUGUUUUGAUGUGUUUUGGUGUUACUUUGACGUACUUGGUAUUUCUUUGUACGUGGUACUUCUUUGAUGUACUUGGCGUCUUUUGAUGUACAUGGUAUUUCUUUGAUGUGCUUGGCAUCUUGUCAACAUCGUCUCAGCACCAGCCUUUGUACGUACACUAUGCAAGCCUGAGUCCAUUUACUGAAUGAAAAACAACUUUUAGCAAUGGAUCUCUUGGCUCUCGCAUCGAUGAAGAACGCAGC
rnacentral:misc_RNA from 1 species